AUAGGCCGGUAGCUGAAAACUGUAGCGUUCACUUUCGUUCCUGUAUUCGUGGAACUACUCUAUUAUUGUCUUAAAUGAUAGAUCAUAUAUUCAAAUGCCUAGAAUAAAAAGUUCUCCACACAAAAUCGCGCACAAGGCAAGUUACAGCCAGUUUAAGACGAGAAAAUGUCGUAAUAUUUAGGUCGCGACCGGCCGCUGCUUAACCAAUCAGGUGACCUAAGUAGGUCGUGACGUCAUCAAACAACAUGGCGGCGCUCGUAGUAAACAAAUGUGUUUAUUCGGGAUAGGAAGAAAAUCCAGCGGAAACAUUGUAAAUAUGGAAUGUGAAUGCCUUUUGCAUGUUGCCGGGAAUGACGGAGAACACACAGAACCAUUUACUCAAACGAGGUGGGAAACUUUUCGUAGUUUUUGCCGUGUUUGGGCUGAUUUAGCCGGCGAUGAACGGACGAUUGCCGAUAACGCGCUUCCCCUCCUCUCUUUCGAAUUUGAUGAUAUACCAAGCCAGAUUGGCUACCACCCGACCUGUUAUCGCCGAUUUACCGACAGGAAGCGAAUAAAUGCUGCCCAGAAACGAAAGCACGAGCCCGUAUCUGAUGAACAGGACAUUAAUAAGUUGCCCUAUAUCCAAUCACCAAAAACGACUGAGAUCAAGAGAAGACAUCGCCAUCGGAUUUGCCCCUCCUCAACAAGAUAAUCCAAAAGCUGGUCAUAGCCAGCCAAGAAAACAUGUGCUGCCAGCUGUCUGCAUAAUAUGCAAAAUAAGAGAGAAGUUUGAGACUGUCAGUAAUUCUCGCCAGAGGGUGAAACUUGUCAAGGCAGAGACUGUUGAUGGUGGAUUGUUGCGAAAAGCAGCAGAAGCAAAGAAGGAUGAGAGUGUGCUUGUACACAUAAGAGAUAAGGACUGUGUAGCUCUUGAGGUCUCCUAUCACAGAACCUGCUAUGGAUCAUACACCAAAUUCUUGACAAGAUCUAAAUCAGAAAGUCAGACACCAGAUGGAAGAUUGUCUGAAGGUUACAAAGAGUUUUGCAGAACCGUUGUUAAACAGAGACUGAUAAGUAACCAGGAAGUUCUACGAAUGUCAACAUUGGUAAACAUCUCAUAAUCGAUGGUAUGGCACUCAUCCAGAGUUUGCAAAAUAUCCCAGCAACCUUUGGGGAGCUUGGUGAUCUGAUACUAACCCAGGUCAUCCAACAAGCACAGAAAUCGGGCUGCAGCAGAGUGGAUUAUGUUACAGACCGUUAUCCGGCCAUCAGUACAAAAAACACUGAGAGAAUGAGAAGAGCAUCUGAUGGUUCUUAAAAGAUUCAGAUCCAUAGUAAGCAGCAAAGGACUAGUGGGGACAACAAGGAGGCACUGGAAGAAUUUCUGCACUCAGGUUAGGCAGAGGGAGACUUCAAAAGUGUGAAAAAAACAAUAGAUGUCUAUUUGACACAUGGAUCAAUGUGUCACCUCAUAAGAGUAACAGCAGGUUCUUCACAUAUCAGUGUCAGUGAUUAUGUAGCAAUAUUUGUGCCUUCUGAUUCGAACCAAUCCGAGCGUGCAGUGAGACAACACGCGCGCGCUCAAAACCGGUCUGGCGCGAGUUCAACUCUGAAAAACUCUUCUCAAUCCACCGUCCUCGCGCUCAGUUCCAUCUGUGCUCGCGUGCUCGACCUGCUCAUUCCACGCGCGAGCACAAAUACUGCAAUCAGAUGGAUUAAAUCAAAAUGCUGCAGCUUUUGGCAGAAACUACUAAACAUAAUGGUGGGAUUGAAGGUAAAAAAUAAAAAUAAAUAAACAGUUUAAUAUUUUUGCCUAAAAUAUUUAGACUAAAAUAUUUGAGUUACUAAGUUACUAAGUGAGGUGUGAAAAAUUAUUUUGUCUCUUUUCUUUCCAGCUUCGGGGAAGAGAUGCAAAAAUUUCUUCUGAUCAUAAUCAUCAUCAUUGUCAUCAUUAUUUGAAAAGCACUUUAGAUAAGAGAUACAUCAGAUAAGAGAUAACAUCUAAUAAAAUGACUUGGCUAAACACUCAACAAU